CAGGGAACCCUGGAGACCAUGGGAAAGCUACGGAACCUGACAGAAGCCUGAAGAGCACUGUGACUCUAUGGAACCUGGUGGAACCCAGGGCCCUAGUGACACUGUGGGGCCUUUUGGGACCAGGGAGACCCUGAUGGGAGUCCACAUGAUCAUUAAUCCUAGCAGGAACCUGCUCCAGCUGGUGUAUCUAUGAGGGUGGAAGCUUGCCAGGCCCAGCAGCAUGACAGGCUGUAUGGGUCGAGCACGUGUAUGUCCAACCACAUAGCUGCAGCCCCUGACCUGUCAGAUACACUUCUGCCUGCCUGAAUCCUGAAAGUGGACCAUUCCCCAAAAGAACUGGAGGCCUGGAGACAGCCCACACUGGACCAGAUUUAUCUUGAAGGACUACUGCCCCGAGAGGAUGUACACUGGAGCAGGAGAAAAAUGGGAGGAGGAAUAAACAGCAAAGGCAAACUGUUAUGAACUGACCACAACCCCCAACUGGGCAUUAAAGGGAGGAGAGAAAUGUU